rnacentral:lncRNA from 1 species
UUUGUGUGUAUUGGUAUGCAUUGUUGGUUUUUCCAGGGCAUUGUAGCUGAAUCCAUUGAAAGUUUUAGUUUAAAUGUACUGAAGAAUUCAAGAACAUUUUUGGGGUUGAAUGCAGUGAAGCUGAAUCAAUGCGAGUGGAUGAAUGGGAAAUUAUGUAGAAAAUGAGUUCUACAACAUUUGAGUAUGAAAAGUAUUGGUUUAGAAAUGUGUUGAGGCCCUUUAUUCAUCUCAUAUUUUCAGUGAUGUUCUUAGACGAGCCAUGAGUCUAACUAGAACUGAUUCCAUCUGUUGUUGCUCUGAAUGUUGAAAAUCAUGGUAUUGAAGAUGAACUGAUAAGUUUUAGUUUAGAAUAUCUUCAAUCCAAUCAAGUUGAAUUGCUGCAAGUCAAUAAUCUUUGUAAUUUGAGAAUUUGUUUUAAGGAUGAAGCUAUGAGAGUUGAAUCAAUUGAGUAUUACCUUAUAUAUAUGUGAAGGCCUGCUAUUCAUCUCGUCCUUGCGGUUUCGCUCUUUAAAUGAGCCAUGAAUCUAUUUAUUUAGCUACCGAGUUUAAGAGUCUGGACCCGAGUUCUUUCCACAUCCAGAGUUGAUGUUUCGGUUUUGUUCAACCUCUAAGAACAAAAGAGCUUCACCAGUCACAGUGAAUGGCUUUCUGGUUGGGGCUUCACACACAAUUUUGGUUCAGAAAACUGGAGGAUUGUUGCCUGGUAGGUCCUAUCAUGCUAUGUGGAAAGCAUGACAAACUUGCUGGUUCAUGGCUGAAAUUCUUUUAUAGGAUUUUGAAAAUUCAACGAGGGUCUCUUGUUAACUUUUGGUAUAUCAGUCAAAAGUUUCAUCCUGCAUUUGUGAGAUUGAGUUCAUAUGCAUACAUAGCAUGAAAUGGAUCAUGAAAUUUUGUCUCAUGAUAGAACUUCGAGGUGGGCAUAUUAGUUCAGAAAUGUGUUAGGGAACACAGCAAUUGCUGGAUCUUUGUUCAUUGAAGCCUUGAACCAGUGCCUUCCUUGGUUGAACUUUGAAUUGUAUAGACAUGCUCAAUGGAAAGAGGAUCUUGUUGCUCUACUCACUGAACCUGAGUUUCUAGGUCUUGGCUCCUGAUACUCAGUCAUGAUAUUCAGCUUGUAUACGAGCAGGCUUUCUGCCCUCGUUUUCUGUUGGUUCUGUAGAAACAAAACAUGUACUUGGAGAAGGCUUUUAGAGAGUUGAUUUCAUGUGUAUGUGCUAAAACCAUUUCUGUCUGAUGUAAGGGAAGUCCAGAAAGAUUUAUAGUCCUCAGAAUCUAGCCUCAGUAGUGGCAGAUUAGGUAAUUUUGAAUGAAUAUCAUAUUCUUCUAGAGAAGGUUCUUUGCAGGCUAAUUUCGAAAAAUAUAACAAAGGUACGAAGAAUAUGAUUAGUAUAUAAAGAACGGGAUUAAGGUAUAAAUAAUAUUGACUAAGGUACACAAACCUCAUCGUGGGCGCGGAUUGUAUAUUUGAUAUAAAGACCAAUUUUGAAAUUAACAAUUUUUAAUUUUUUUUUUCAUAAAUAUUAUCAAAGAUAUGUGAUAAGGCAAUAUAACAAUUUCCCUUUCAAAUAAAAUGUUACAUUAGGGAAUUAGUUGUCAUUUAUUUUAAUAUAAUAAUUAAAAUAAAUCUUUUCUUCUCUCCUUUCACUUUCUUUCUUUCUUCUUUUCUUUUUUUUUUUUCUUGAAAGUUUUUGACAUUUUUUUUAUAUUUUUGUUGAAUAAAAAUAGUUUUAUUUUAUUUUAUUGUUUUCCCUCUUUUUUGAAUACUUUUAAAAAUAAUAAAAAAAUGAAAAUUUAUUUUAAUAAUUUUUUUAAAAAUAAUAAUAAAUAAAUAUAAAAUGAGGGAAUGAAUUUGGAUAUUGUCAUAUUAAAUAAAAAUAAUUUAAUUUAUGGUUUUAGUAAAUUGUAUUUCAAUUUUAAUUAUUUCUAUCCCAAUAUUACCUCCUCAGACUUUUCCCUAUUAAAAUUAAUUUCUCUCCAACCCAAUAAUUUAAGAAACCCUAAUCUAUUUUGAUAUGAGAGGGAGAUAUGUAUCUGAAACUCUCUCUCUCCAGAACAAACCUCAACUCUGCUCUCUUCUUUCUGAAUUUCUUUCCUCCCAGAAUUCGACCGUUGGGCCUUCCAACGGCCACAGCUUCUGAAUUUCCCGCUACCCUUUUCAAAUUUCUCAAUUUCUAUUCUUCUCUGCCUCUCCCUCUAGACCACUCUGAUUACAUCCCUUAUUCUGGGUUUGAUUUCGAUUCCUUCUUCUCAUCGUUACUCGAUCAUUCAGUCCACAAGAGGCAUUUGAAUCAAAUCCAUGCACAGUUGGUGGUGUCUGGACUUGUGGAGAGUGGCUUCUUGGUGACUAAAUUUGUGAAUGCGAGCUGGAACAUUGGGGAAAUUGGCUAUGCGCGUAAGGUGUUCGAUGAAUUUCCUGAACCAAGUGUGUUUCUGUGGAAUGCCAUCAUCCGGGGCUAUUCUAGCCACAAUUUUUUUGGUGAUGCGAUUGAAAUGUAUUCGAGAAUGCAAGCUUCGGGGGUGAAUCCAGAUGGGUUUACUCUUCCUUGUGUGCUUAAGGCUUGCAGUGGCGUGCCGGUGCUUGAAGUGGGUAAAAGAGUGCAUGGUCAGAUAUUCAGACUCGGGUUUGAAUCCGAUGUGUUUGUGCAGAAUGGUCUUGUCGCGUUGUAUGCCAAGUGUGGUAGAGUUGAGCAAGCCAGGAUUGUGUUUGAGGGGUUGGAUGAUAGGAAUAUUGUUUCGUGGACUUCGAUGAUUUCAGGGUAUGGACAGAACGGCCUGCCAAUGGAAGCUUUGAGAAUUUUCGGGCAAAUGAGACAACGGAAUGUGAAACCAGAUUGGAUUGCUCUUGUGAGCGUUCUCAGGGCCUAUACUGAUGUAGAGGACUUGGAACAAGGCAAAUCUAUCCAUGGCUGUGUGGUUAAAAUGGGUCUUGAAUUUGAACCAGAUUUACUCAUUUCCCUUACAGCCAUGUAUGCUAAAUGCGGACAAGUGAUGGUUGCCAGGUCCUUUUUUGAUCAAAUGGAGAUACCGAAUGUGAUGAUGUGGAAUGCCAUGAUUUCUGGUUAUGCAAAGAAUGGUUAUACUAAUGAAGCAGUAGGACUCUUCCAGGAGAUGAUUUCCAAGAACAUCAGAACUGAUUCUAUCACUGUGCGUUCGGCUAUUUUAGCUUGUGCGCAGGUGGGAUCACUUGAUCUAGCGAAAUGGAUGGGAGACUAUAUCAAUAAAACGGAGUAUAGAAAUGAUGUUUUUGUCAAUACAGCACUUAUUGACAUGUUUGCAAAGUGCGGAAGUGUAGAUUUGGCUCGUGAGGUAUUUGAUCGAACACUGGAUAAAGAUGUUGUGGUUUGGAGUGCUAUGAUUGUAGGAUAUGGAUUGCAUGGGCGGGGCCAAGAUGCCAUUGAUCUUUUUUACGCAAUGAAGCAAGCUGGGGUUUGCCCCAAUGAUGUCACCUUUGUUGGGCUUCUAACAGCAUGCAAUCACUCAGGCCUUGUAGAAGAGGGAUGGGAGCUUUUUCACAGCAUGAAAUAUUACGGAAUUGAGGCCCGCCACCAGCAUUAUGCUUGUGUGGUUGAUCUUCUUGGCCGAUCAGGGCAUUUGAAUGAAGCUUAUGAUUUUAUCACGACCAUGCCAAUUGAACCAGGUGUAUCAGUAUGGGGAGCACUCUUGGGCGCAUGCAAGAUCUAUCGCCAUGUGACAUUAGGAGAAUAUGCUGCAGAACAGCUUUUCUCACUAGACCCUUUCAACACAGGCCAUUAUGUGCAGUUGUCGAACCUCUAUGCUUCAUCCCGCUUGUGGGAUAGUGUUGCCAAGGUUCGCAUACUGAUGAGGGAGAAAGGACUGAGCAAGGACCUUGGGUAUAGCUUGAUUGAGAUCAACGGAAAGCUUCAGGCAUUUCGGGUUGGAGACAAGUCACACCCAAGAUUUAAAGAGAUCUUUGAAGAGCUUGAAAGCCUGGAGAGGAGGUUGAAGGAGGCUGGCUUCAUCCCACACAUAGAGUCAGUUCUUCAUGACUUGAACCAAGAAGAGAAGGAAGAAACUCUCUGCAACCACAGUGAAAGGCUAGCAAUCGCCUACGGGCUUAUCAGUACUGCACCUGGAACUACACUCAGGAUAACAAAGAAUCUCCGGGCAUGCAUAAACUGUCAUUCAGCAACCAAACUGAUAUCAAAGCUUGUGAAUAGAGAGAUAGUUGUUAGGGAUGCAAAUCGGUUUCACCAUUUCAAGAAUGGAGUUUGUUCUUGUAGAGAUUACUGGUGAAAAAAAAAUGUGGAUAGCUCUUCAAAUUCCAACUCUCUUAUUUUAAGUAAGAAUUUUGGCAUGAAAUCAAUAUUUUCUUGAGGAGGCAUAUUCAGAAAAUUACAGGCGAGAUGAGUGACCAUUCAUAAUGUUACAAGAUUAUAUUUUGUCUUCCAUAAUUUGAUUAACAAUACUUGCUAGUUAUCAUUUUUUGAUGAACAAGAAGGAAUUAAAUAAGAAAAGUGAUUUGUGUUUGUAAUGUCUCUUUAAUUCGUUUUUUCUUUCUUGUAUUCUAUGUGUUUUAAGGUAUUUAUUCUUUUCUUUCAAUAGAUUUUCCUGCUUUGUGCUUUCCUUUGGUAAUAGCGUUUCUCUUUUUUUCUUUCCUUUUUUCUUCUUUUUUAAUUUGAAAUUAAAAUCAUAAUUUUAAUAACAUUGGAAUAACUUUUUAAACGGGUUUAAGUAAAAAAAAAUUAUACAAACUUUUUUUAUGUUAUAAACUCUUUUAACAAAUUAAUCAAAUAGUUAUAUAAGUUACUAUUAAAUUUAGAAAAAAGUUUUGGCCAUGAAAUUAUUUUUGAAAAUAGGUUUUUUUUUUCAUUAAAAGAAAAAAUAAUUUUCCACCUACGAAAUAACCUAGACAAAUUUUUGAUAACAAAUAGUUUUUUGAGAAUUUGUUCUCAAAGCAAAUAGUUUUUGACGAAUCGGAUUUAGGUGUUUUCAUUUGUUUUUGUAAAAUGUUACAAUAAUUGAAAAUAUAAAAAAUAUUUUGAAAAUUUUGCAUUGAGAAUAAGUCAAGAAGAAUAUUUUUCAUAUUUAAGUUGUUAAAUAUACUUUUAUUCUUACAAGUAAUUGACAAUCGAUCUGUUCUUGAUAGUUCAUAUUUCAAUUUUCAUUGUGAAUAAAUCAAGUUAAAUUGUAACUUAUAUAUUUAGCUCAAAAUAGAUAAAACAUUGAUAUAAAAAAAAUCAAAACAAUUAUUAUCAAAAUAUGGAAAAUUUGAAUUUUUUUAAAAAAAUAUUUACAUGUAAUGAUACCCCAUUUUAAAUUAUAACAUAAUUAGAAUAAUGUAUAUAGCAAAUUUGCUACAUAUAGUAAAACACUAAGCACAUUGACAAGAAUAUAUACAUUGUAAAUUAAUGAUUGAUUAUUUAUUUUAGUACUAAAUUAUAGUAAAAUGUACCCAUUUCUUCUUAAUAUUCAUGCAUUGAAAGAGAAGAAAUAUAAAUGAAAUCAAUAGAAUGCUUUCUUUAAAUCAUAGAAAGUUCUAAAUGAGAAAUUAGAUUAAUAUAGAAAAUACAAAUGUGAAAAAAAAGAGUAAGGAAAAUAUUUUAGAAUAUCAUAUUUAUUUUACCAAAAAAUAAAUUAGGAUGAAAAUGAUUUAAAACCAUUUGUAUUUUCAAAUUCUCAUCUCUUUAAUUACAUAAGAAAAAAAAAUUUAGAAAAACAUACAAAAGAAAUUAUCAAAUUUAAAUAAUUUGCAUAUUUCUUUUUUUUUUUUCCUUCAAAUCUUUUAAGAUUAAAUUGAAGAACUUUUGUGAAAAUACCAAAAAUAAAAUUUUAGAAUUAAUAUAUUAAAUUAUAUAUUACAAUUUAUAUCAAAAAUCAAAAAGAAAAAAAUAAGAUAUAUAGAAAAAAAAUUCAGGAUAUAUACUGAUCAUUGAACAUUUCAAACCCUAAUCCAACCUUUCUCUCUUCAUCACAACAGAGAUAGGAGGAAGAUACAGAAAAACCCAAAAAGGAAAAGGGGAAAAAUAAAAAUCCAUGGAAACCAGAUCUUCAAAGAGAAAGAGACUUCUGCAAGCCCAAUCUGAAUCCCAUACAGCCAUUGAUCGAAUUACUCAUCUCCCAGAUGCCGUUCUCCACCAAAUUCUUCUCCUCCUCCCCAUCAAAACCAUUGCCCAAACCAGCGUGUUGUCCAAACGGUGGAGGCUUCUCUGGUCAUCUUUUCCUGAUCUGGACUUCACCACCCUCAACCCACAUUGCAUGUCCUGCUAUUAUUUCGAUUCCUGCGGCGGCCGAAGCUCGGUUUCUCCCAACCCUAACACUCUGGACUGCAUCAGCCAGACUCUAGCGGCCCACCAGAGAGGCUCAGACAUAAGGGUUCUACGCUUCCGGGCACAUCUAGGGUUUUCGAGGUUGAAUGGUCUGAUCCGUAGUGCAAUAAGGCAUAACGUUCAAGACCUUGAUAUCGACGUUUGCACCGACGAUUACUUCAAUCUCCCCCGCUGCGUCGUGAUGAGCGAAUCCUUGAAGGCUUUAUCAUUGAAGUUUCGUCCUCCUGGUUUUAGGCUGCCACCUUCGAUGGUAAUGAGAGGUGGUUUUCAAUCUCUGCAGACUUUAUCUCUUUCCCAUAUGGUCUUCUACAAGAAGCAUUAUCUUCUUGACUUGUUCGCGGGUUCUGCAUUUCCAGUCCUCAGGAAACUGACUCUGGACAGUUGCCGUGGAAUAAAGUUUCUUGAUGUUGGCUGCCGAGUCCUCCAAGAUUUAACAGUAGAGAAUUGUUUUCAGCUCCAUGGAUUGACCGUAUCAGGUCCAAGAUUGGAGAGGUUGAGGGUGGUGAGUUGCUUUGAAUCUUCUAGUGAGAAGAGUUGGGUGAAGAUUAUAGCGCCCAGACUUAGGGUUAUGCACUGGGAACACAACGCCAUUACUGAGACAAGUUGUCUAGAGAAUUUAGCUUCAAUGGAAGAGGCCUUUAUCGGGUUCUUUGCGCUUGAUGAGGACACAAGAGCAGAGAAGUAUAAGAGCGUGUCAAAUAUUCUCUCUGGCCUCUCUCAUGCUCAUUGUUUAACCCUCCAAAGCCAAUGCAUUCAGGUAUUUUUAUCAUUCCAAGCAUUUAUACUUAGAAUAUUUUGAUGGAUUUGCUAUGUUUUUAUGAAGCAUAGAAUGAAGUUUGGAAUGAAGUUAAAGAGAAGGCCAUGCAUGGAGGAGAAAGGAAAAGUGGAGAUUAAUUACUUAAAUAUUGAUAGGGGUCAUCUUUUUAAAGAUAGUUCCUAAAUAUUAGAGCCAUGGAAAAUUCAAUGCCUACUCUUGAAGGUUUUCAAGUUCCCAAGUUAUUUUUACUUCCAUUUUCCACAAUUAAUUGCUUCCUAUUCUCCCCACCAAAUAAUAAGUUCCUGAUUGGCUACUAUUUUUUAAAAUAAUUUCCUUUCAUUGAGAGAGAGAAAAAAAAAAGGAAGGAAAAUUUUAUAUUUUUAAAAAUAAAAAUAUAAAAAAUAUAAUAUUUUUAGAGAACAUUUUUAGUUGUUUUCACUCGUUAUCUACGAGUUAUUUUGAAAAAAAAAAUUGUUAUAUAAAUAUGAAGAAUGAUUAAAAAUAAUUUUUUUUAUAUAAAGAUUAUUUUAAAAACAUAAUUAAAAAUAUAAAAAUAGGUUAAGAACAUAUAACGUUCCAAAUAAUAUGUUGUUCCAUAAAACAUUAAAGGGCAAUUUUUAAAAACUAUUCUUCGAAAACAUUUCCUAAAUAGAAUCUAAAUAUAUAAGGCACUCUAUUUGCAAAACCUUUAAGCUCCUUCUCUCUCUUUUCCUAUUCUUCGAAAACAUUUCCUAAACGGAAUCUAAAUAUCCAAGGCACUCUAUUUGCAAAACCUUUAAGCUCCCUCUCUCUCUUUUCCUUUUCUUUUCCUACCUUGAAAUGUAUAUAACCUUUGAGAGCAAUUUUGAAAAAGUUCAAAGUGUAGGUUGACCUUGGUUUGGAAAGUUAAGAAUUUGUUACACCAUUUUGAUGUCUUAAGAACUUUUUCAAGGUUGUGGAAGAAAUUUACAAUAUAAUAUUGUGAUAAAAAGGUUUUGCAUGAUUUGUUGAGUCAAAAUAUCUUUUUUCCAAGUUCUAUAAAAAGUGUUCUACAAUUUGGUAAUUUCAUUGACAAAAUUAUUGUCUAAUCUUAAGAGAUAUGCAUAUGCUAACAAUAUGCAAGUCUUUUUCCAUAGAUUUUACAAGUUGGUCCAUAUCUUAUGAAUUUAUUUUAUAAUCAUGAUUCUGCUUUCAAAAUCAUGCCCAAAGUCAAAUUCAACUAUAGAUCAUAGCAUUUUUCUUGUAGAGAGUUGAAACCACACACUAGGGAAUUUUAAUUUCUUGGGCAAUGUAUAUCAGUGGACUUUUUCUUCAACUCCUUAUCUCAAUAGUCUCAAGAGAGGACCAACCUCUCUUGGGGUUUCUUUAAAUAGUAUGAAACACACAAGAAUAUUUCUGUUGCUGCAUAUUCUAAAGGAUUAUCAUUAUUCUACCAUUGCUCUACGGCCUUAGGGUUCUAAGAACCUCAUCUGUUGUUGCAGAUUCUAUCAAACAAUCAUUAUUCCACCAUUUCUCUACAUCCCUUUCACAACCUGAAAACUAUGAAGUUGCAUACUGUACUUGACAAAAAUAACAUCAGAGGAUUACUGUGCCUAUUCAGGAGCUCACCAACACUCCACACUCUCAUUCUCAAGAUAAUUACUCAUUUCAAGGCUGAAAAGACAAAGGUUAAUUCUCAUAACACAUUGAUUUUUCCUUUAAUUCUUUGGCCUAUUUUGAUGUAUGUGCACUCUCGAUCACUGAGUUAUAUAGAAUGAACUUUUCGGGUCAUUGAUUUUGAGCAUUUGCCACUCCAGGCAUGGAAUAAAGCGCUGUGGGAUCACAUGUCCAGCUCUGAGCAGGAACAGUACUGGGAAUCUCGAUCACAAACUUUCAAGUCCUUCCUGCAACACCUCAAGGUAGUAAGGAUGGAAGGGUUGGUAGAAAGUGAGAAUGAGAUUGGUUUGAUCAAGUUUCUGCUCAAGCAUGGAAUGGCCUUGCAAGAGAUGAUUCUGUGCUCAGGACACUCCAAUUCCAGGGACCCGGUUCGGCGUCAUGAGAUUCGGUCACAGAUGAUGGGAUUCUCUUGGGCUUCUUCGAACGCUAAACUUGCAUUUCAUUGAGUUUUUUUCUACACAUUCCCGGAGUUUUGAGCUACUUUUUAGUACUGUAAAUUAUGCCCUUGAAUGCAGGUAAUAAGAUAUUUGAAAUCAGUGAGUGAAUAAAAUCCUUGACUCAUUCUCAGAUUAUUCCCAACUUGAACCGAAGUUUCUGCCAUUCCUAAAAGUCUCCCAAUCUCCUAUUUCUAGUCAAUUUUUUCCUGCCAAAAUGUCACUUUUAACUGUUUGUUGUGUUUCUUCAUGGAAGACAAACAGUAGAAAGUUUAUGAUCAAAUUCUUUCAGUGUAAUUGACUCUUCACUUUGAACAGCUAGGUACUGUUAGUUUGGUAAGAUUAGUUUCAAAAAGGGCUGCUUGAGUUUAUUUCUUUGCCUCCCAUUAUAAAAAGCGAUAAAGGUGUGUACUACAUACAUAGAAUCAUAUGGAUGGAACAGAGAAAAGCAGGCAUUUCAACAAAAGGAAACGACUGUUUUUGUACAUAUUAAACGAAUUAAGAAGCAAAUGACAAGAUGGGAUAACAAAAGAGAGAGAGAGAGAGAGGAAGGGAGGGGGAGUGGGGGAGAGAUUAACUCACACUCUAAGAUGAGCUUGAUUCAGCUUUAGGUGCACCAUUGCUUAUGCCCUGCAACCCAUUUCGGGCAUUUGGGGCUGAAGUAGUUUGAGACAACCCUUGAAUUCAGAAGCUCGAUAAUAGGGGCAUAUUUCACACAACGGGGGGUCUUGUACUGGUUUAUUGAUGCACCCUGGCUGAGGGCAUAGUCCAUGAGCUUGUCAAAUGUUCCACCCUCAACUAUCCUUAUUUCCAGAGGCCCAAUAGAUUUAUCCGAGGCUCGGCCUUGGCGGUACACACUGUUGAGUGAUUCUUCCAUGAUAAGACAGCAGUCCUCAAAAACCGAAGGUGGAAUAGGGGUUGCACCACUGAGGCCAAUCUCCCAGUACAGUACAUAGUGGCCAGGGAUGGUUGACGUGUCUGCAUAGCUUGUGUAUUCUGUGACAGAUGCAUCAAAUUGAAGAAGAUGGUCAGCAGCAUUCUUCACAGCAUUUUGCAGCUCAAAUUCAUCGGUUUUAUCAGAAUCAAUGCUAAGAGCCACAUUUUUUCUGCAGAUAAAUUUGAAUUGGGGCGCCUUGUUCUUGAAUCCAGCUACACAAAGUAUAUCUCCAACCCGAUAUCGAUAGAGACCUGCAAUAUUUUUUAAACAAAUAAAGCAUAUAUAAAUUCAUGCUCAUCACCAUCAAUAAUGUUAUAAUGCAUUGAAUCUUACCAGCAUAUGUGGUGACGACAAGCUCAUAUUCUUGUCCUAGUUUUACAUCAACAAGAUCAACCAAUUCCUGAUGUUCCUUCUCAUUGAGGGGAGCUGAUUCAGAAACGUUUGUAAAUCCAUUUUUCCUAUUCACCGGCAAGAACUCAAAAUAGGCCAUGGUGGGAAUGAGGGUGUAAGAAACUUCACUUGGCUUACAAAGAGGAUUAAGGUUCAGGCCGAAGUAACAUUCGGAAGAAGCAUACAUUGUACAAACAAGGGGGAGACCGUUGCUGUAGUAAUCGAGAGUAGGGAUGUAUUGAGACAUUGUUCCGGUGACUAUAACAUCUAUGUACUUAGUAUUAGGCCAUAACCUAGUUAUGAUCCCUUCCCAUGACUCCCUUCUACACUCAGCCUCAAUAAAGUCUGCGAGCUCAGGAUUCGGUUUCAAAAUCCUCUUGACAGCCUCUCUCACAGAUGGGUCAUUUAUUUGGGAGUCUAGAGUUCCAGCCCGAAUAUCCUUACAAAGAAGAACCCAGUGCUUUUCCAGGAAGCGGAUGGCCCGGAUGAAGCCGGAGGCAAACACUGCACCAACCCGAAGAACUUCCUUGUUUUGACACAGCCCACAAAGCAAUUGAGAAUACAUGCUCUGGUAGGAAUCCGGACACAGAAUGGUCUCGUUGGGACUGGUAUAGUUGGUGUAAGGAUCAUAAGGCCUGUCCCUGAAAUAUGAACUCUUGUAGUAGCUUGUGAGCACUGGGCGAGCCAUUAGUCCUCCAGGAGUCUUAGCUUCCGAUUUUACAAACAAAAAAUACAUCCCUUUCCCUUCGUCCAACCCGGGAACAGACUGGUUCAUCACAGGCAUCAGCAGGCUAUACAGCAAAGACCUCCUCCCGAGCUCCUCUUCAAUGGUGGGCAUCAGUUUUCUCUCUCCGCCAGAAGUUCCAGAACUGCACCCACACAUCAAAACAACUCACAAUUCCAAAACACAGAACUCAAAACGGAUCAAAUUUCAAUUCUGAAAGAAGUAAGCCACACACACUCACCUCGUCAGAAACUCGGAAAUAGGCUUUGAGCAGAGAAUUGGCGACAUAUCGCCGUUGGCGAUACGUUCAAUAUCCGGUAACAUAUCCUCAUAUGUGACAACAGGCACGAUUUUCUUAAAUGUAUCGGCGUCCACACGCCCGUUAAGGCCAUGGCGCUGCAAGUACUCAACAUUAGAGUUCCUGGUAAUGAUUUCAGAGAGGACCUGCAUUUGAACUUCUUUGGCAUUCAUGGUAACAUCUUCGAUGAAUUCAAGAGCCCUGAUGUUCUUAUCAUCAAGGAUGCCGCCCUCCACACCCAACCCGGCACCAUUGCCACGGUUCUUCGGAGCUUCAGGCAUGGUUUUCAGUAUAAUAUAUGAAGAAAGAACACAGGGUUAUACUGGGUUUUGUAGCAAAGACUAUCCAAACUGAUGCAUAUAUAAAGGAGAAGUCAGCUCAAUCAAACAGUGAUGCGUGAAGGGUAAAAUCACAAAUUCGGUGGGUGAAGUGGUUGAAUUUUGACUUUUCGGCGUCCACUUGCUGAUGUAUACUCUCACGAAUAUAUGGCGGGUAUGUCUCAAAAAAUCGUGAAGAUAUCAAGGGUGUUCAUCAAAAUACCAACAGCCACCUGCCUGCGUAAUUCGGUUGAAAGGUUUUGCUUGUGUUUCACUAUACAUUCCCCCACAGCCGACCAAUUUCUCACGAUACCUUACUAUUUUUUCUAAAUAAUUCCAAGUCUUAUAUUAUAUAGUGCUUUGAAAUUUUUUAUGAUGGGGUGUGAAAGCAGAAAUAUUAACAAAAUAUAACUUUAAUUUUUUCAAAGUCAACAAAUCUAAAACGUACGAAAAGUAUAACUUUAUUAUAUCUAAACAAAAUUUGUCAAUUUUAGAUUUAAUAUUUUAUUUAUUUAUUUAUGGAAAUAAUAGAGUAUUCUUCUUUUACGCAAUCUAAGUCAAACAUAUCAUUCAAUUCCAAGAAAUGUUCUCAUUAACCCUUAUUAAGGAUAAAAUGAUCCUAUUUAGGGAAAAAAAAUUCAAAAAAUGAAAUCAUUUUUUUCUUUGGCUUGUAUCAUUUUUGUUAAUGUUAAAGCUGAGAUUGAUUGGUUGUAGUGGUACUAUCAAGGUUAUUGGUCUCAUUUUCUUUGGGAUAUCUCGUAGGGAUAUAUAAAGUAAAGAAUGAAAAUAUCAUCCCAACAUCAUGAUGCAUCCCACAUCCAUCUCCAUGAUGGGUCACAAUCAUAUGUCCAAAAGACAAGUCAAUAAGGGUAAUGCUGCUAUAGUACCAAUACUUUUGAGUAUGAUGUCAAAAAAUUUAGCUCAACCACAUUUUAUCAUAUAUUUAAAUACGUCUCGUAUAGUGUCAUUUUACUUAGAUCUCAUUUAUUUAUACUUUGAUUACAUAAUUCAUAAGGAUUACUAUUUAAUAUGUUACCAAGUUGAUAUCAUUUUCAUUUUAUCUUUUAUGUUAUUAUUUAAAUAAAAUCACUUAAAAAAAAUCCUUUAAAAUUACUUGAGCUUGGAUCAUAUGGGUUAAAACCCUAAUAUCCGAUCUUAUAUAAACAUGAAAAAAAUUAAAUAAAUAAAUCAAUAAUAAGGUUUAAACGAUGAAUUUUAGAAAAGAAAAACUUUGAUGUCAUGUUAAAAUAAACCUAAUAUGAAAAACUAAACCACUAGCAAAACCAAUAUAUGCUCAAAGGGGGCAAUUGUCCUCCCCGAAAAGGUAUCAAUAUUUAAAAGAAGAAAAAAGGCUUAACGAUUAAGUCAAAUUUACAUCUUUAUAUCAUGUUGUCCCUUCUAUAAUGAAUUUUGAAUUUUUCCCAUUUUCUCCCUUGUUCUACAUUUAUGGCUCCGCCAAUGAGCUAAACUAUGAGGUCUAAAAACUACUAUAUAUAUACAUUCAUAAACUCUCCCUGUAUCUCUUGAUAUUUAAGGUCUCAAUUAUGAGCAGAGGUGCCCACCUCUUAAUGGCAAAUGUUAUCUAUGUCAAAGGAGACACACAACACACAGAGCGCAUGUUAAUAUUCUAGUGUUGUGAAGAGGAUACGGGGGGGCCAGAAUUUUAUCAGUGUUUGAUAAAUUUAGGUGAAGUAGGAAGCUAUCAAUGUCCAAAAGAUUGAUUCAUGCCUAACUAAAAUUUUCUAGCGCUGUUAAGACUUUUCAUAUCCAAACAAAAUCAGUAUCAGGUCCUCUUGAAUUGACAAAAUUUGAUUGAAAAAUAAGCAGCCAGACCCACAAAUGACUUUUAAGAAGUUACAUAUCAACACACUUUCCUCUAAUUAAGACGUUGAAGAUCAGUCAACAAGCAGUGUAGUGCGUCACUCAUGGCUGACAAAAAUGGCUGAUUCUCAGUUUGUUACAGUUCAGAGAAUGAAAAAGAAAGAGAGAAAAUAUGUGCCCUUAUUGUGAAGGAAGAUGGCAGUACCUGCAAAGACAAAUAAUUGACAUCCAUGAAAUCUAUAUCUAAGAAAUCAAUAUGCACGAGGGGGGAAGUUUGUUGAGCACAGGAGUUAAUGACAGUGACCUCAUGCUUGCUGCAAAACUCCAGUGAUGUAUCAGCCAUUAAGACAUGGUCCUACAGCGAAAUUGGCGCCGGCUGUCUCAUCUCCACUUGUCCAGUCACUUUCAGUUUCGGUUUAGCCACGUGUCCCACACCUCUUCAUUGUCUCCCCUCUUCCCUAGCCUUGCUUAUGUUCCUCAAGGGUCAACAUAAUAAAGAAAGGUUAGUUUCUGAUAAGCAUGAGGAAAAGAAAGACAAAACGUAAAAGGAGGUUACUUAGGCAGAGGAAAUGCAAGGGAUACCUUGUGCUUGGUGAGAACGGGAUGUAGUGUUUGGAGGUUUAAGGAAUGUUCAUGUGGGAUUGUGUUUUGAUGGUUUAUAUGGGAGGCAUUGAGAGGUGCGUAUACCAUUUACACUUGACCGUCGCACAGGGAUUUUUCGCCUCUCAAGACAGCUAUUUGUCGUAUUUUACACAUCAAGGUCUCAUGUUUAUGCCAUUAACUAGAGGUUUACUAACUUGGGAUGAGGAGUUCUUCUAAAAGGAGUCGGUAUCCUUCCUUGUGUAACGGGUCUUAAAACUAAUAGAAAUAAACAUGUUACAAAGACUAGGGAAGGAGUGAUAGAUUCCAACUUCAUCACAAAGACUCAGCUGCAUAACAUGUUACAAAAUAUAACCAAAUAGAAUUGACCAAUAUUUGUACACUUUAUAGGCUAAAAGAUAUUUGAUUCAUGCCCAUUGGUUCUCAGAGGCUUGAAUCCCUACAACUUUUAGUUUUCAGUCUGAGAUCAUAUGCUUGAUGCCUAACCAAGAUGUAAAUGAUAAAUACUUUCAUGCGUUAUCGGUCUCUAGCAUAUCUUAUAUAUCAGCAGUAUAAAAAUCCACUAGUGGCGCCUUCCAACUAGAGAUAUGUAGGCUACUAUAGAUGCACAAUUAUAAUUAUUGCUCUACUAUUAUCACAAGAACUACUAAGGACCUGCCAUUAUUUCUGCCUCAAAUGGUGCGGAAUUAUCAAUGUCAACUACACAGCUUGUCGGCCAAGCAAUUGUCCAACCAAUAUUCUUUUUAAUACCAAUUCCUCAUGUAAUAUAGAAAUCAUUUUGUUGGUUUUUCCGAUGUUGCGGCCCACUGCAAUAGAAGCCAUCAGUUGAACAAGCAUUAACAUAAAAACAAAUUCAACAAAUGACUUUUAUGGUCCCUAAUUUCCAGUCAAUAGCUUGGAGAAUGUGCAGUUUAAAAGUACUAACAAGCACAAAUUUCUUGUAAAGGUUGCAUGAUCACCUGGGCAGGGCACAAGAGCUGACACUCGAUUAUGGUAAUGACCAAUCAAAUUGCAUUAAUCAGAUCAAAGAUACAAUUAAUUUCAACUAGUUCUUUACAAAUCAGUGACAACUUUCAACUACUUCAUCACAUGCUACAUAUGCCUUUGAGUUCUUCCUACCCUAUCAAAGUACUAAAUAUUCUCUUACCUUUGAAAGGUUAGUGGGCUGGUUUUCCUUUCUCGUCUUUUGAGGACAGCAAACGAUAUUUAUAUCUCUGCUUGUUAAAAGCAUUUCCAAACAGCCCCGGUUUCCUGUGUUACUGAAGGAAUCUCCUGCUUUCUAGGUAGAGCAACUGAUCAUACAAAUUAAUUAGAACAUUCUUAUGGGAGUUGUGGAACGUGUUAAACACAAAGAUUAGAUAUACAAUGCUAAAGAAUUGUUUCUUUUCCAUUGAUAUUUUAAUAAUAAGGUUAAUUACAAUUUUUAAGUUCUAACAGAAUAACAAUUCAGAUGCUCCUGAAACCCUUCUCUUGCAUGUGUUUGUUUGUGUAUCUCACACAUGUAUAAUCAGAUUUAAGGGCACACAUGGACCUAUUAAUGUACAUGACUGCUCAACUACUUGUACGUUAAUCGUACCAUUUUCCUAGCAUAUCAAUGCAUGAUAAUAACAAGCAACUACCAAUGGUUAUGUACAUCCGUCUUUAUCAACUAUAGAUAGUGAUAUUGAAAUUACGAAGUGAAAUCAAGUCUGUUUUAAGCCUCCAUGAACCCCACUAAUAAAAAGAUGAAACAAUCCAAUCUUUGUAGCAUCUGGUCACUAGACAACUGGAGAUUCUGCUUUGUAGUAUUUCGUUUGCGUUUGAUCUAAGAUCACGCAUGCCAUGUUGAGGGAAGUAGCUGUCUGUAGCUUUAAUUUCUCUCUUAUCAAGAUAAUGAAUGGUAGAUGACUUUUGUGAUCUGAAUGUGAUCCUUCAGUUCAUUUCUCCUUAUCACUUUCAUGGACAAUGAUUUUACCCUGGUUUGGAAAUGGAGACUCGCUUUCUGUGUUGCAACGCCUUCUUGACUAGUUAUCAUAGGUGUUGGCACAUGUCCAUAUCCACUACUUACUGUUACUAUACUCUUCUCUGUCAACUGCUACAGAACUAGGGACCUAGGGCCAUUCGUCAUAUGCCACUGCAAUCAAUUCUCCUUUAAAGAAGAAUCUAAAAUUAUUUAAGUGCCACUGUCUUUGGACAAUCUGUACUUUAGCCAAAAUCUGUGAAAUAUUUGAAAAGCAAAGUGCAUCUAUAUAUCUAAGGAUUUGAGAUAGUGAUUAGUGGUCUGUAAUCAUAAUGAAAAUUUGAGAUUUCAGUGGAUAGCUUUAUUUGCCUAUUUCUGAAUGCCUAUGAAUUCAUGUACAUGUGUAGUACAUUUCUUAUUGCUAUAUUGUUCUAGAAGGAAAGGUAAGAAAAGGCAAGGGAAAGUGGUCAUAAUUCAACUUAUGGCUUAAUACAUAUUUUAAAAAGUCUAAAGUUUUGACAUGAUAAAGUUUUGCAAGGCUUUUGUAUCUAGUACCAACGAACAACUAAAGCAAUACUCUAUAAAGCAAGAGACUAAAUUGUCUAACUUCUCAAGCCACCAUUGCCAAAAGUUAGAUAGGUUUACAUUUAUGGUUGUCUCAUGCUUUGUAUGGUAUUUGAAUAAGAGUCCAUUUGAUAGUGAUCUUAUGAAACGCUUUUAAUAUUUUUAAUACUUAAAAAAAUUUAUCAUUCAAGUGUUAGAAUUAUUAAAAAUAUUUUUAAGAAUCACUCCUAAAUACAUUCUAAUAGCGCGUUUGACAAUGAUUCUGGAAAAUAUUUAUAACCUUUUUAAUAUUUAAAAAUUUUUAUUUUCAAAUAUUAAAAAUGUUAAAAACAUUUUUUAAAAUCACUAUCAAACAUACUAAGUCUAUAGGGUGUACUUGUUCCUUUUUAGAAUUUGUUUCUAACAAAGAACCAUAUUCAAAUUUCAUGUUCUUAUCAUAUCAAAUGUCUUUUUUCAAUGUAGUUCUCAUUGAUAGUAAACUAGGAAGAGGUUAGUUAUAACUUAAAAGUGAAAAUCAAAUGGCAAAGUCUAAAAAAGGAAGGGAAUCUAUAAAGAGAUAUGCAUAAGACUAGGAAUACAUGAAAGGCAACUUAAGUAAAUGAAAAAAAAAAAUAGUAAAAAUAGAUGGACAUGAGUUAUCAAAACUUGGCCAUUUUUGUUAAUUUAAUCAUUCAUAAAGAAAGAGGAGAUAUAAAAGGAAGUUAGCUAAAUAAUUAGAACACAACACUACAUCAACUCCAAUAGUGGCCCAGAAGAUAUUCAAAAGGAAGCUGAAAAUCCAUCUGGUCACUAGACAACUGCUGAAAUAGCCACUAAUGCGAUGUGCAACCUAUCUCUUGCAUUUUAUGUGAGUUCAUCCUACGUUUUCCACUUACUAAUCUCCACAUUGUUGUGGAUACCUAGAAAGAAUAGCAACUAGGAAGUUGAGAAAGAAUCAAUGGGUAGGGAAAGAGAAUUUGGAUUUUUGUUGGAAAAGCACAUCAUUAGGAUUCAAUCUCCCAUUCUGAUCAAAAGCAAAAUAAAAACAGAUUUUUAGGGCCAGUCUAAGUGGGACUCCACCUAGAAAAUAGCUUACGGCACAAUUAUCACAACCCCAAUACUGGAAGGGACUGUGGUAACACUUAAAUUCAGAACCAAAGAUUGAUUAUUGAUGUCAUGAUAUUGGAAAGCAGGACAAGAUGGAUCGAUAAAGGUAUGAAAAAAAUUUGCACAAGUCAGGAUCUUUAGGCACCUUAAGGGGUGGGGGGUGUUGGGAGGGGGGAAUGCUUCUUGUUACUUGGACCAUGAAGUUUGUGGAUUUCUUUCUGCCCAUCCUUUCAUGUAGCCUGCCUGGUCUAUUUGUGGAGCCAUGGUGGCCAACACUAGCUUGACCAUCAAGUAUGCACCAAUAUCUUUUAGAAAAUGAUUGCAGUCAUAUGGGGGGAACAAUGUCUGAACUCACUUUCUUAAUGGAUACUCAGUGCUUUUUCUUUGGUUCUUCACAUUGAAAAGGAGAAAGAGGGGGGAAAAGUAUUGAGCAAAGUGGGAAACGCAUUUACGUAAAAGUUGAUAGAAAUGAUAGAAAUAACAGCUAAACACGGUUAUUAAACUCUAUGGUUAUGGAUGACCCAGCUUCCAAUUUAUACAGUAAAACCCUAUGUGUGUCAAAAUCUGUAUGGGACAACCACUGCCUUGUCUAGCUAGUGCUAGGAAUAUGGAGAUAUGGGUAUGCUCACCUCCAGAAACAAAUGGAGAGAUGGGCAUAUUGAUUUACUUAUGUUAUUGUUUUGCUUUCCGGGCUAGUGAUUUUCUUUUGUCUUGUACUUUCAAGAGAGGAAGAGAGUCACCCGGAAAAUGCAUCUAAAAAGGGAGGUGCUCUGUGGUGUCUUACUGUGAUUGAUCCUCUUGAAAAUUCUAGGGGGUAGGCAUCAUUUUGUUCUUUGUGUAGUAUCGCUUUGUCCCCCAUUCAGAUCUCACGAAAGGGAUGGGCGUGGAGUCACGGACACAGAGUCAAGUGUGACAACCAAACCCCUACCUUCUAAAACAAUCAUAGUUUUCAAAACCACAACACGCCCCUGCCCUUCUAUAGUGACUGAUUGAUUUUCCUUAAGAUAUUGUAACAAAGAUAACUUUCAUCUAAAAGAAAUGAAAAGAUAGAAAGGAAUAGAAACAGUACUACUGCUACUAGUAUAUGAAAUAAUAUGAUUACAUUAUCAGUAUUAGAACAAUCUUCGAAAUGGGAAGCAUGCAUGCAAAAGUUUCUAGUAGUGGCAGGCAAGGCUAGAAAAUAAUCAACAAAGUGAGCAAAGCAAACUGUUCCGCACCAUUUCUGUUUGGGUAGAGACUGUGGGUUGGGAAGGGUAGGCAUGGACUUGUCCCUCCCCCAUUGGACUAUGAUGUGACUAAAUGAGAAUUAUCCCCCAAUUCUUGAAGAGAUCCAAUCAAAGUUUACAUAGAUGACCAGCUUCACAGUUUUAAGCAUAGUUUUCAACUCCUAAAUGAUCAAGUUCCAUUUUUCUGUACAGUUUUAACUUUCAAGAAUGAUUACAGAAACAAUAGGUCCAGGACUCACCUAAUCAGAUCCUUGGGCUUCCCUGGUAGGUAGGCCCAGGCCUUGCCUAUCCAAGUUUAUCUCAACUUGUUUAGUUCAACAGGAAUUUGAACCCUUAAACAAUGGUUCUGUUUUCAAUUUAAGGAACAAGUAUUUAUUUAAUGGCACAGCCUUAAAUAGAGCAAAAUGAUAAAUGGCAAAAGAGUUACCCAUUUUUUUUUAUGAGAAACAUCAAUGUAAUAUAUUAAAAAAGGAUUAUAAAAAUACAAAAGAAGGAUGAGAAAUCCUCCCAAAAACAAAGAACUAAACAAAUGGAACCUCCAAAAUACUAAGUAAUAUAUUAAAAUAGUGAUUAUAGAAAUGGUAUCAGUCCACUUCCCCCAACCCCCCACCUCCUAAAAAGGCCGGAAGCUUGUGUAGUCAAAGACUCCAAGGACUACCAUGGCCAAUUGUUAAGAUUAAAACAUGGUACAGAAGUUUACAUAGGAUUUCUCGCAUACCCUGAUCCUGACAAAGUUCUAACAUUUUCCUUCCCAAUCGGGGAGUUCUUGGGCUUCCUGUUAUUGUUGUUUUGGGGGGAAAAAAACUAGAGAUUAACCUGGAUAAGCCUAGGGACUGGCCAACCUGAUAACUUCUUGAAAACUAUUUAAAAAUCACUGAGGCAAAUAAGGAACUUGCAGGGUGCAUAUUCCACUAAAUAAUGACCAAUAUUGGAUCACUCGUAAGUAACUUUAUUGGCCUUCCUCUAGGCAUUUCAAACUGUGUCCUUAAAUGGGUUAUACAUUGCUGUCCCAAAGUCCUGAACAAUGGGCCAUAUGGCAUAGUUAAUGGAUAGCACUUCUAUGACAAGUUCAAUAAUAGUUUGAGGAUCUCCUUCAAGUUAGACAUCCUGAAAACCCAUAUCCUGGGCCUGAUCCAGCCCAUCUCUUUGGCUGUUUUACUCUUAACGAUCUCAUAGAAUACUUCCUUCGAUGUUUGACUGUCGAUUCCAGCAAAGUUUAUGCGAACAGGACAUGCUAAAUGGCUUGUUAUGUGACCUCAAGUCGAGUUAAUAAACGUUGAUAAAUCACUAUGCAAGUUUAAGCAUGCAGCAAUCACUGAAACUGAUCUUUGCCAUAUUACAUUGAAUUUGUUACAACACUCUAGACAUAUCAUCCAAAAUAGAAUAGCAAUAAAUCCCCAGGCAUGCCAAGAACCACAUUUUGGACUAUAUAUCAUGAUGAAUGGACUGCUCUUCAUGACAAAUCAAUUAAUGUGAGGAUCUUCUUCAAUAUAAACUUCCUGUAAUAUCGUGGGCCUCAUUCAGCCCAUCUUUUUGACACCAAAUGUCUGCUUCACUAAUAGAAGUUUCUUGUCACUUGUAGUUAGUUCUAAGUCUAAGUCAACUGAACAUGCUAAAUGACUUGUUAAGCAACCACCAAUUGGGUAGUUAAACUUAGAUGAAGCACCGCACAAGCUCAACCAAGACAAGCACCAAACUCCAUCUUUACCACUUGAAUCAGAACCUACGCUCCAGGCAUGCUGACAACCACAUUUUAGGCUAUAUAGAAUAAUGCAUGAACUGCUCUCCUAGGAUAAGAGCAAUAAUUUGAGGAUCACCUUCAAUAUAAAUAUCCCGAAACCCCAUAUCUUCUUUUUUGACUACAACUUUAUGUUUUACUAAAGAGUUUCCCAUAGUUCUACAGGAGAUCACUUCUCCUUCGUGAUCUGAUAAGACACAUCUCUGUUUUUACUAUCCAAUUCAGCAUUUAUGUGAACUGGACAUGUUAAAUGACUCAUUCGGCAGCCUCCAAUUGGGUGGUUAACUUGAGAUGAAGCAUCACGCAAGUUCAACAAAGACAGGCGCUAAAAUCCAAUUUUUGCCGUAUUACAUUAAAUCAGAGAUCACAUUGUAAGCAUCUUAUCCUAACUAGGAUAGCAAACAAUUCCCUGGGCUGGCCAGCAACCACAUUUUUCUUCAAAGAAUCUUACAUCACAUCUUCUCCAAAGUGCAAUGGGGUUCCCCAAUGGACUAAUUGAAUUUCCCCCUCCUUCUCCGGUUAUUUUUCCAACCAAACAACCAACCAGAUACGAUACUCAUCGAUUUAUGAUAAGUUGAUUCAUCCAUUUCGAAAUUCUACUCCGGUUGUCUAAAAUAUUCACCUCUCCACCAACUACAUACCCAAUUGUUUCUUACAACUUUCCAGAAAGACCUUCCCACAGUAAUUAUACAACAAAUUUCUGUGUUCAAUCAUCAAACUUUUAAUCUUCACAACUAAAAUAUAGACAAUUGAGCAAACCCACAACUCUAAUCACAUAAUCCAAUAGAAAAAGAAAAACCAUAGAUAAACUCCCAAAAAUUGCCCAUAAAACAGAGAGUAAUUUACGUUAUAUGUAACCAGGGAAAAGGAAAGGUUUACGCAAUCAAAUACAACAUACCCAGAUCCCAAAAUUCCUUCUCCACCUCAGAAACAAUUAUCAAAAAUGCAAUUCGGUGAAUGUAAAUUUCUUUAUUCAAAUUUUUUCAAAAGAAAAGGGAAGAACCUGAGAUAUCUGAGGGAGGUGGCACUGUGUUCGAGAAAUGACGGUGGAGGAGGAACGAGAGAUUCUGUCAUAAUCCGAGAAUCGUGGGAGACGGAAUCUUGGAAGGGCUCGGGGAACUUGGGUGAGGCCACGUCGUCAUCAUCCAUGGCUUCCGUGGAGGACGCAGGCGACGACGAAAACGACGCCGUUUCACGAUUAGAAUCUUCAUAGAAAAUUGUGGAAUCAACUUUUUUCUGGUAAAAGUAUAAGGCUAUGUUUGGUUCCCGGAAAAUUUGAGGGAAAAUGCGAUGGAAAGAAAAUACAAAGGAAAAGUAGAAGGAAAGAAAAAAUGAAAGAAAAUAAAAAAAUGAAUUAAAAGUUGAUAAAUUAUUUUUUUUGUUACUUCAAACUCAUUUUAUUUAUUUUAACUCAUCAAUAUAAAGAUUAAAUAAUUUAAAAAUACAUAAGUUUUUAAUUAGUUUUAAUUAUAUUUGAUUUUCUUUGAUAUUUUUUAUAGGACAACCAAAUAUGAUAAAAUCAUUUUCCUUAACAUUUUUUUUCUUUCCUUUGUACUUUCCGGGAACAAAACAUAGCCUAACUGUCCUUCGUUGUAUUUUACUGUAAGUUUCAAAACAAGUACUUAAAGUAAUGACUAAUAAAAAAAUAAAAAAAUUUAAACAAACUUCUUUUAUUUUGAUAUUGAAGUCAAUUUUUAAUUAAAUAAUCUAUUUUUUUUCUUUUUAUAUACUUUUAUUUUGUUAUUUUAAAAAAAUUUAAAUAAAUAUUAUUGGUAGAUGAAACGUUACUCGCGUUUAUCAAUAUUCAUUAUAUUCAAAUACCAUAAGUGUUUGGAUGAAUAUAUUAUAUCCUAAUGAUAAUUAUGCUUAAUUUGCAUAAUUUUGAGCGAAAUUCAAAAUUGAACAUUUUAUAUUUUUUAAAAUUUAUUUUUAUUAAGUAUAGGAUGGGAUAAGAGGAAUACCUGAAAAACCGAUCCUCAUGGAAGCGUAUUUGUAAGUGAGUGGAAAAUCUAAUUACUAGUUGAAAAUUUGGAGAAGAUGUUGUGGUGUGAAGGGUAAUGCCAAAAUGGCAAUAGUGUGGAUGAUCGAAGGAACUAUAGUUGACAUCGACACAAACUUCAAUUUUUAGGCAGAGAGAAAGUGUUUGACAUGACCACAAGCCACCAUUGAAGGUUGAAAAGAUCAAUUCAUUUCAUACGAUGAAGACAUUAUAUUAUGUUUGAGACUUGUAUAAAAUAAAAAUUAUUUAAAUAUUUGGAUUAUUGGCUUUGUAUUAUGAAUAUAGAACAAUACGAUCCCCAUCACUUUUUGGUCUUUUGGCCCCUCCUUUAGAAGCUUUCCAACUUCCUACUCCUAGGCAUGCUCCUAAGUGAUGGUAGCUCCAAAAAGAGUUGAAGUAGCAAUAACCUUCCUUAUUUUUAAUUUCUUUUUUUUUACUUUGAAUUAUUUAUAAAGUUGUUUUUUUAAUUUUAAAAUACAAAAUUAUAAAUUAAAACUCUACUUAUCUUUAAAAUUAAUUUCUUUUACGAUAAGAUGAUAUGAAAUACAAAACACUUUUUUAGUUUGAGAUUUAUGUGUUGUGAAUCUUUUAUAGUAUCUUUAAAUGAAGUCAAAGUACUAAUUUGUUAUUAAAAUUUUUUAGAAUUAAUUGGUUAAAAUGGAUAAAAUAAUUCACAUAUUUACAAAUUUAAUUCUUCCCGUAUUUUUGUGUGAAAAGUAACAUACCUUUUUUUUACAUAAAUGUUCUUAUUAUUUCCCGUAUUUACAUUUAUAUAUUAAAAGAAAGAGUUAUUUUUACAAGAAAAAAAUAAAGGUAUUUUUGUUAAAUAAGACCAAAAAAUGAUGAAGAGUUAUAUUUCCAAAAUCGGUUUUGAUUGACCCUUUUAGUCAAAUAACCCAAAUUUUUAUUCAUAUUAUUAUAAUGAAUAAACUUUUGAUAUGAUUUUAUCAUUAUAAUAAAUAAAUUUUUCAUAAGAAGAUUUUAAAAUAGAAUAGUCAAUUAUACUAAUACUUACAAAUCAAAUAAUUAAUUAAGGUCCUAUUUUGUUGGAUUUCUAAGAAUUUAAAAUCUCUUUUUUAGAUUGAAUAAGAGUUUUUUUAUGCAUGUUAAGCUAAUUUCAUUAAAAGAAAACUUAUAACUUAAAAAAUAGUUUAAUAUAAAAAUUAUGAUAGUAUUAUGUUUUCUAGAAACUCAAUUUGUACUAAUACAGGAAGUUCUUUUAUGUUUAAUAACACUUUCACGAUGCUAAUAAUGUAUGUUAAAUACAUGGUUCGACUUCAAAUUCAACUUUCUAUUAAUGUAAAAAAUAAAAAACUAUCCGGACCUAAUUGUACAAUAGAAAAAUUCCAAGAAGAGAAAAAAGGGGUAUGAACUUCAAGUCUUAAAACGAUCCAAUACUUUCCUAUUUUUAAUAUUUAUUUUUUUUAAUGUAAGACUCGAAACAUCUCAUGUUUCCGAUCCAUUGUCUGUCCACCAUGUGGCCCUUGUAUAUGAACAACCCCAUUAGUCUCCCUCCACUCAUGCAAUCUUGGCCCUAAUCAGACUAUAUAAAUCUCCCCAUUUAAAAUCAGAUCUUACUUUGGAAGCAUCUCUCCAUGUCUCUCUUUCUAUGAUUUGGCUAAAGAACGAUAUUUCUAAUAUAUUAAAGCAGUGUUUAUUUACCCUUCAUUUCAAACCACAUGUCUCCCAUCUCUAAUUUUUAUAUAUAUUUUCACACACCUGCCUUAAUCAAGUGCACAAGCACUGUCACCAAUUGUCUAUUGCCUGUCCCCUUUCUUAAAUUUUCUUGGAUUUAUUUUAUUUUCAUGGUGUCCAAACAAGGGUGUCAAUACCAUUUCCAUUUUGCCUUAUUAACUUCUUGGAAUACCAUCAUCUCAUUGCCCUUGAUUGACUUCUAUCUUUGUUUAAUCUCCUAUGAUCCACUAAUCUUCCAUCUCUUAUUUGGUCAUUAUAUUCAAUAUUCAAUCAUAUCCAUUUGUCUGGAUUCUCUAGUCUUUUUUUUGUAGUUUUGAUUCUUCUCAUGAGACUUGCCUCUUCCCUUCCCUAAAGUUUCUCACAUUUACUUUAUUUUCUCUGCGUCCAAACAAGGGAGGCAACCCAUUCCAACUUUCCCAAACCAAACCAUUUCAUCAAUGCCAUUCCUUUGCUUCAAUCUUUUUCUAAUUCUAAUUAUUGCUGCUAACCUUUCUUAGGGUUUCAUCAUCAACCCAAAAUUUUUACUGAUCUCUUUUUCUUUUUUUAAAAUACAAUGAUAUAUUUCGUAAUUUUUAAUUAUCAAAAAUAUAUAUAUAUAUAUAUAUAUAUAUAUAUAUAUAUAUAUAUAUAUAUAUAUAUAUAUAUAACAGAAGAAAAAAAUGUAUUUAUUGAUGAUAGAAUGUGCAUAAUAACAAAGAGCCAUGUGAUCUACAAAUGGGCAUGGUAGCCAAAUU